UCCCUGUAGUGCAACGGGUAGCACGUUAGAAUUCUAAUUCAAAGGUCGUGGAUUCGAAUUCCGACUGGGAGAA